AUGGGUGUAGCUCAACAGGAGAGCGCCUGCCUUGGGAGCAGGAGGCCGGAGGGGCAGCACCUCCCACCCAUA
rnacentral:tRNA from 1 species